AAAGCGUGGGGAGCGAACAGGAUUAGAUACCCUGGUAGUCCACGCCGUAAACGUUGGGCGCUAGAUGUGGGGACCAUUCCACGGUUUCCGUGUCGCASCUAACGCAUUAAGCGCCCCGCCUGGGGAGUACGGCCGCAAGGCUAAAACUCAAAGGAAUUGACGGGGGCCCGCACAWGCGGCGGAGCAUGCGGAUUAWUUCGAUGCAACGCGAAGAACCUUACCAAGGCUUGACAUACACGAGAACGCCCUASAAAUAGGGAACUCUUUGGACACUCGUGAACAGGUGGUGCAUGGUUGUCGUCAGCUCGUGUCGUGAGAUGUUGGGUUAAGUCCCGCAACGAGCGCAACCCUCGUUCUAUGUUGCCAGCGCGUAAUGGCGGGAACUCWUASGAGACUGCCGGGGUCAACUCGGAGGAAGGUGGGGAUGACGYCAAAUCAUCAUGCCCCUUAUGUCUUGGGCUUCACGCAUGCUACAAUGGCCGGUACAAAGGGCUGCAAUACCGUAAGGUGGAGCGAAUCCCAAAAAGCCGGUCUCAGUUCGGAUUGAGGUCUGCAACUCGACCUCAUGAAGUCGGAGUCGCUAGUAAUCSCAGAUCASCAACGCUGCGGUGAAUACGUUCCCGGGCCUUGUACACACCGCCCGUCAAGUCAUGAAAGUCGGUAACACCCGAAGCCGGUGGCCCAACCCUUGUGGAGGGAGCCGUCGAAGGUGGGAUCGGUGAUUAGGACUAAGUCGUAAC
rnacentral:rRNA from 1 species